GACGAACGCUGGCGGCAUGCCUAAUACAUGCAAGUCGAGCGAACAGAUGAAGUGCUUGCACUUCUGACGUUAGCGGCGAACGGGUGAGUAACACGUAAGGAAUCUACCUAUAAGCGGGGGAUAACAUUCGGAAACGGGUGCUAAUACCGCAUAAUAUCUUCUUCCGCAUGGAAGAAGAUUGAAAGACGGCUCUGCUGUCACUUAUAGAUGACCUUGCGGUGCAUUAGUUAGUUGGUGGGGUAACGGCCUACCAAGACGAUGAUGCAUAGCCGACCUGAGAGGGUGCUCGGCCACAUUGGGACUGAGACACGGCCCAAACUCCUACGGGAGGCAGCAGUAGGGAAUCUUCCGCAAUGGGCGAAAGCCUGACGGAGCAAUGCCGCGUGAGUGAAGAAGGCCUUCGGGUCGUAAAACUCUGUAUAAGAGAAGAACAAAUUGUAGAGUAACUGCUACAGUCUUGACGGUAUCUUAUCAGAAAGCCACAGCUAACUACGUGCCAGCCGCCGCAGUAA
rnacentral:rRNA from 1 species